rnacentral:rRNA from 1 species
GUCUAUAGCCAUGCCACCCUGAACGCGUCCGAUCUUGUCUGAUCUCGGAAGCUAAGCAGGGUCAGAACUGGUUAGUACUUGGAUGGGAGACCACCUUGGAAGACAAGGUGCUGUAGGCA